rnacentral:rRNA from 1 species
GACGAACGCUGGCGGCGUGCCUAAUACAUGCAAGUCGAGCGGACUUUCAAGAAGCUUGCUUUUUGAAAGUUAGCGGCGGACGGGUGAGUAACACGUGGGCAACCUGCCUGCAAGACGGGGAUAACUCCGGGAAACCGGGGCUAAUACCGGAUAAUAUCUUCCUUCGCAUGAAGGAAGGUUGAAAGGCGGCGCAAGCUGCCGCUUGCAGAUGGGCCCGCGGCGCAUUAGCUAGUUGGUGAGGUAACGGCUCACCAAGGCGACGAUGCGUAGCCGACCUGAGAGGGUGAUCGGCCACCCUGGGACUGAGACACGGCCCAGACUCCUACGGGAGGCAGCAGUAGGGAAUCUUCCGCAAUGGACGAAAGUCUGACGGAGCAACGCCGCGGGGGCGAAGAAGGUCUUCGGAUCGUAAAGCUCUGUUGUCAGGGAAAAACAAGUACCGUUCGAACAGGGCGGUACCUUGACGGUACCGGACCAAAAAGCCACGGCUAACUACGG